AAUAGUUCAGGGACAAAAAAAUGCCAUUAAACCCCUUCUCAUCACCACAAGCCACAUUGACCGCAUUGAGGCUGGAUCAAGCAAUCAAUUCUAUCAAUGAAAGUCA